AUUGAACGCUGGCGGCAGGCCUAACACAUGCAAGUCGAGCGGCAGCACGGAGCUUGCUCCUGGAUUCAGCGGCGGACGGGUGAGUAAUGCCUAGGAACCUACCCUGUAGUGGGGGAUAACGUCCGGAAACGGGCGCUAAUACCGCAUACGACCUGAGGGUGAAAGUGGGGGAUCUUCGGACCUCACGCUAUCAGAUGAGCCUAGGUCGGAUUAGCUAGUUGGUGGGGUAAAGGCCUACCAAGGCGACGAUCCGUAACUGGUCUGAGAGGAUGAUCAGCCACACUGGAACUGAGACACGGUCCAGACUCCUACGGGAGGCAGCAGUGGGGAAUAUUGGACAAUGGGCGAAAGCCUGAUCCAGCCAUGCCGCGUGUGUGAAGAAGGUCUUCGGAUUGUAAAGCACUUUUAGUUGGGAGGAAGGGCAGUAAGUUAAUACCUUGCUGUUUUGACGGUACCAACAGAAUAAGCACCGGCUAACUUCGUG
rnacentral:rRNA from 1 species